UUGUGGUUCAUUUGGAAGGCAAGAAACUCAUUGGUGUUCAACAAUAGGAGAUGUUCCCCUUUUAGAACGGCGGAUGAUAUCCAAUUACUUGGGUUCAGGCCCAGGGCAACAAAUUAUUGAGGGCAUCAAAAUUGUCCAACUAGUUAUAUGUAUAGUAUAUAUGACAAUGGCCCGAAAACUUAUCCCAUGGUGAUGAUCUGUUUACUGAUGUCGUGACUCGUGAGAAAAAAAGCUAGGGAGCACACGCCUCGAACCAAACGUCGCACAUGCCUAGAAUCCCGCUGGUGUUGCUGUCGAUUGGAGAAAUCAAUUCCUACCUAGAAUACGUCCCUCAUAAAUAAAAAAUAAAAAUUCUUUCUGAAUCUGAAUCUGAUUGUAGAGAACUUGUUUCACGGGAAUCCCAUUAAUAAAAGAAAGUUGAAGUAGCUGUUUGGCACACCCCAUCACAUGUGGUUACAGGGGCAGUGCUUGGGAUCCUGGUUGCGUGUAUUUGUUGUCAAUGUUUGCUUUGGUGUAAUCUGAAAUCUGAAUUCUAUGCAUUUGUUGUCAAUGUUUGCUUUGGUGUAAUCUGAAAUCUGAAUUCUAUGCAGGAUUGUUUUAUUUUAAAAACAAAUUUGUUUGA